rnacentral:rRNA from 1 species
AGAUACCCGCGUAGUCCUAGCCGUAAACGAUACUCGCUAGGUGUCGGCCACGGUGCGACCGUUUGUCCGGUGCCGUAGGGAAGCCGUGAAGCGAGCCACCUGGGAAGUACGGCCGCAAGGCUGAAACUUAAAGGAAUUGGCGGGGGAGCACAACAACGGGUGGAGCUUGCGGUUUAAUUGGAUUCAACGCCGGAAAUCUUACCGGGACCGACAGCAACAUGAAGGCCAAGCUGAAGACUUUGCCGGAUUAGCUG